UAAAAAUAGACUAGGUGAAAGUGCAAACCAACACCCCAGAAAUAUUCAGAAAAAUUACAAGAUCACUAAAGGAAAAAAACGCAGCAUAUCACACUUUUCAACUCAAAACCGACAAAAGCUACAAAGCAGUAAUCAGGGGACUACACCCAAAAACAAAUACCGGAAAAAUAAGUGAAGAACUGGCAAAAAUCGGACACCAGGAACACCGACACAUUGGCCGACUGACCUGAACAAAAAACCAGAUCUUCUGGACUUUGCAGUUACAAGGGGAC
rnacentral:misc_RNA from 1 species